rnacentral:rRNA from 1 species
UACGUAGGGCGCAAGCGUUGUCCGGAAUUAUUGGGCGUAAAGAGCUCGUAGGCGGUUUGUCGCGUCUGCUGUGAAAAACCUGAGGCUCAACCUCGGGCUUGCAGUGGGUACGGGGCAGACUAGAGUGCGGUAGGGGGUGACUGGAAUUCCUGGUGUAGCGGUGGAAUGCGCAGAUAUCAGGAGGAACACCGAUGGCGAAGGCAGGGUCAC